CGUGUAGGCGGUUGCCCAAGUCCGAUGUGAAGGCCCGGGGCUUAGCCUCGGAAGUGCAUCGGAAACUAGGCAGCUGGAGCGCGAUAGAGGAGGGUAGAAUUCCUGGUGUAGCGGUGAAAUGCGUAGAUAUCAGGAGGAAUACCGGCGGCGAAGGCGGCCCUCUGGAUCGUUGCUGACGCUGAGACGCGAAAGCGUGGGAGCAAACA
rnacentral:rRNA from 1 species